UCAGAAGCAUCUCCUACACCAACCUGUCAAUCAGCCAGAGAAAUUUACAUAUCAGACUCAAAAAUCCCUUCAAAGAUACAAGAUAACAAAAAUAAUAAUUCUAAGCAGAUUAACAGAAAUAGUAUUUCCAUUGUGAAAUCAAGCAUCAAGGGAAAUUAAGAAGUCACUAGACAUUUGCCCGAAAAUUGCGUGGAUUUUUGUAAUUUUCUAAACUGUUAUUGUAUAAAAUAUAUAUACGUUUGGUAAUGUGUUGUAUCAAUUGAAGCUCUUUUUUGUUUCCCACCACUUCAUACAGACUUCAGG
rnacentral:misc_RNA from 1 species